rnacentral:piRNA from 1 species
UGGUGUAAGAAGGACAAAGAACUCUAUC